CUUCUAACGGUCCAGACCUGGUCCAGACAGACUCCUGCUCAGCAAGGGAGCCCAGCAGCACCCUGCACCGAACCAACAACCUUCUCUUUCAAUGGUGGUGAUCCAAAUCAGUGUGGAGCAGAAUGCACCAUAGAGAUGUACAACUCUCCUGUUGAACACCUCAAGACUGAAGACUGCAAGGAAAGAAGGCUAAUCUACACCGAGCAUCUGAAGAACAACAUGCAAGUCCUCCAGCACAUUGAAUCCAAAACCUGUUCCAGUUCCUCAGACACCGUCAGAGACUGUUUUGA